rnacentral:rRNA from 1 species
CCUACGGGAGGCAGCAGUGGGGAAUAUUGGGCAAUGGGCGCAAGCCUGACCCAGCAACGCCGCGUGAAGGAAGAAGGCUUUCGGGAUGGAAACUUCUUUUAAGAGGGAAGAGCAGAAGACGGUACCUCUUGAAUAAGCCACGGCUAACUAAGAGGCAGCAGCCGCGGUAAUACGUAGGUGGCAAGCGUUGUCCGGAUUUACUGGGUGUAAAGGGCGUGUAGCCGGGCUGACAAGUGAGGUGGUAAAUUCCGGGGCCCAACCCCGGACCUGCAUUUGAAACUGUUGGUCUUGAGUAUCGGAGAGGAAGGCGGAAUUCGUAGUGUAGCGGUGAAAUGCGUAGAUAUUAGGAGGAACACCAGUGGCGAAGGCGGCCUGCUGGACGACAACUGACGGUGAGGCGCGAAAGCGUGGGGAGCAAACAGGAUUAGAUACCCUUGUAGUC